GCCGAAGUGGUGGAACUGGUAGACACGCAGGAUUUAGGUUCCUGUGCGCACAGCGUGUGAGGGUUCGACUCCCUUCUUCGGCA
rnacentral:tRNA from 1 species